UACGAGGGGUGCAAGCGUUGCUCGGAAUUAUUGGGCGUAAAGGGUUGGUAGGUGGUCUUGUUUGUCUAAGGUGAAAUCCCAUGGCUUAACUGUGGAAGUGCCUUAGAAACGGCAAGACUAGAGUCCUAGAGGGGUUUGUGGAAUUCCCGGUGUAGCGGUGAAAUGCGUAGAGAUCGGGAGGAACACCAGCGGCGAAGGCGGCAAACUGGAUAGGAACUGACACUCAACAACGAAAGCGUGGGGAGCAAAC
rnacentral:rRNA from 1 species